rnacentral:rRNA from 1 species
AUUGAACGCUGGCGGCAUGCCUUACACAUGCAAGUCGAACGGCAGCACGGGAGCUUGCUCCUGGUGGCGAGUGGCGAACGGGUGAGGUAAUAUAUCGGAACGUACCCUAGAGUGGGGGAUAACGCAGCGAAAGUUGCGCUAAUACCGCAUACGAUCUACGGAUGGAAAGUGGGGGAUCGCAAGACCUCAUGCUCAUGGAGCGGCCGAUAUCUGAUUAGCUAGUUGGUGGGUAAAGGCCUACCAAGGCAUCGAUCAGUAGCUGGUCUGAGAGGACGACCAGCCACACUGGAACUGAGACACGGUCCAGACUCCUACGGGAGGCAGCAGUGGGGAAUUUUGGACAAUGGGCGCAAGCCUGAUCCAGCAAUGCCGCGUGCAGGAUGAAGGCCU